UGAACACCAACUGUGAAACGUGAGUAUAUAUAAUCUUCUACAUAUAAAGAGUGUAAGUUUCUAAAAAAAAAUUACAUCGAUAUUUUUAUGAUAAACUGCCUUUUAUUUUUUAGAUAACUAAACAAUUACUUUAGUUAUUGUUUUCUUGAAAAACAUUUUCCAUGGAAAAUAUUUUACCUUAUACCAAACACACCCCUAAAGUUGGUAAAAAUUGCAUCGGACGCCCUAUUUGGUCACCCCCAUUUAACCUAUACCCAUUUUUUUAAAAAGUUUUAACUUGUACUCACUUUUUAAACAACUCCAGCUCUCUUUCUACUCCUCCUUCUCCUCCUUCGUUUUCUUCUUCUUCUAUAGUGAUACGUAUACCCCUUUUGAGAGAAGUCAAGAAUAUGCAAAAAUGGAGCAACAGAGACAAAAUAAUCUUUACCAGUAUGAUCAAAUCCCAUUGUUUGUUGAAGUUCAGCUCAACAAACUAGGCCAAGAACUGCCACCACCACCAGCAUCUAUUUCCACUGUACUCUUCUGGAAUCCCAUGCAAGACCAAAUUGCUUUGGAGAGGUUAUAGCAAGUAGGAAAAAGCUAGUGUUAUUUCACAUGAAUAAGACGUGAGAAAGGCAAAUAAGAGCUCUAUAUAUAUGAUGUAAUAGUCUACCUUGGCCUUGGCCUCUGUAACUUUUCACUUGUUAUUAUUAAAUUAUUGAGCAUUCUCACAAGUACUUGUUGAGGAUAUUUUUUUU